CUCGCCUGCAGGCUAGAACAUCGGUAAAUCCAGAGAGGAUUGUAGAUUCUACACGAAGUCUUGUGUCAAUCACGCCAGCAGUCAUCCUUUUGUUGAUCCAAUAUAAAAAACCCUCAAAGCUUCAAUUCCAGCUUCGUCUUCAAUUUCAGGUUCUCCAAAAAGCAGAGAAAAAGCAAAGACUCUCAUUGUGCUGAGGUACCAUGGCAAAUCAGUGCUCCAAUGAUGGUUCUAGUACAAGCAACACUUCUGGAGAAACUUCAGAUGCAACUGUAGAGCUCAAUAUCAAGACUCUAGAUUCUCAGAUUUACAGUUUUCAGGUGGAUAAAAAUAUUCCCGUUUCAGCAUUCAAGGAGAAAAUAGCUAAUGAAAUUGGUGUUCCAGUAGUUCAGCAAAGACUGAUUUUCCGGGGAAAGGUCUUGAAGGAUGAACAUCUCCUUUCUGAAUAUCAAGUGGAGAAUGGGCAUACCUUGCACUUAGUUGCAAGGCAGCCAACUCAGUCUCAGCCUUCAACUGAUACAAGCUCUGGUGACACAAAUGCAAAUACUGGUAACAGAGGAAAUGAUCCUAGUGCUGGCAUCCCCCAAAAUCGUGUUGGGCAAAUAUCACACAGUGUAGUUCUUGGGACCUUUAAUGUUGGGGAUCAAGGUGAAGGCAUUGUUCCAGACCUCACUCGGGUUAUUGGUGCAGUGCUGAACUCCUUCGGCAUUGGUGGUCAGACUGCAACUCAUGGCAUUGGUGGAGUGCAGUCCUCUACCACGUCAAAUGUUAGUGGCCAGACUCCUCAAGGAAAUGAAACAGCAGAUGGGUUACAAAGCAAUGUUGGUGGUCAGAGUCAAGCAGGAAAUCAAACACAUUCUGGGCAGGCAUUUCCUGGUCAGCCAUUUCAAUCACCUCCUCAAGUCAUGCCAAUUCCUACUGCAGCAGUACCUCUUCCUUCACUUCGUUUGCCAAUCCCUGAUUCUUUGAGUACACUUUCUGAGUUUAUGACUCGUAUGGAGCAAGCACUGGCACAAAAUGGUGAUGAUAGAAAUGGCAUUAUAUCUCAUAUUUUGCACUUGAACAUUGCUGAAAAUAACUCAUUUUGCUUCAUCUAGGGUACCAGCCAAUUGCAACUUCAAACAACACAGGAGAUGUCCCAAAUGUAGAAUUACCUUCUAAUGUAAGGGGAUUGCAAGCAUUGCACAUUGUCCUGCGACAUGCAGAACGGCUUCUCGGUGGUCAUGUGAUCACUGCAUUAUCUGUAAACCUCUAUGUCCCAAAAACUUUAAUUCCUUGCAAGCCCCCACACACGCCCUCCCUCCUCCCCCUCCUCCCUCCUUCCCUCCCUUUUCAUUUCCUUUCCUCUUUUUGAAGCAAUUGAUACUGAAUUUUUGAAUUUGCCUUUGUGUAAACAUUUAUCAAUAGUUUUGGUGCUGUAUGUGACUCCAUUAUAUGGUUAUGGAUCUGGGACAGUGAUUUGUAUGCAUUUGCUUUAAAGUUACUGCAUUGUUGUAUCAUUUGGUUUUAUGAUUGGUGAAUGCUGAUAUGAUAAUUUUACAGAGAUAAUAAAGUCUGUUUAACACUAAGUGAUAACAAUAUGUAGGAUAGUAACGUCUUCCUUAUGCUAUAAGUGAUGUAUUCUAUAUUAUGCCACUGCUUUGAGUGCAGUGUUUGACGAAUUUAUUACGAGGUUAACUUAAGAACUGCCUGCCUUGUUAAUUUAUAGUGAGGCAAUGUUUGCAUUUAAAUUUCUUACUAGGGAAUUGGUUAUAAUCUAUUCUAAAAUGAACAAAUCCUUUUUUUUCCCCUUUGGAAAACCUUAUAAUCUAUGUUACAUGUAACAUGCUGCAACUUUGUAGCAUAUUGCAGAACGCUUGGAACGAGAGGGAGUUUCUGGUAAUCCUUUUGUGAGGGGCCAAAUUCAGACAGAAUCAGCUCAAGUUGGCCUUGCAAUGCAGCACAUAGGUGCUCUUCUUUUGGAGCUUGGUCGGACAAUCUUGACACUGCGAAUGGGACAAUCUCCUGCUGAUUCUUCUGUAAAUCCCGGACCUGCUGUUUAUAUAUCUCCAUCAGGGCCUAAUCCUAUAAUGGUCCAGCCUUUUGCCCUACAAACCAAUUCCCUCUUUGGUGGUUCUUCUGUACAAUCAAAUCCCAUGAGUUCUGGUCAUGUUGGCAUUGGUAGUGCCCCAAGGAACAUAAAUAUCCAUGUACAUGCUGGUACUUCACUGGCACCGGUUGUAUCAACCAUAGGUGCCCGGGCAAGUAAUGGGGAGGGGAUGCAAGGAGAACGGGGUAAUGGUACUGGUUUUAGUGGUUCAGGCCCAGUGCGGAUGCUACCAGUGCAAAAUGUCAUUGCAGCAGCAGUGCCGUCACAUUCUACUGGUGUUACUGUUUCUGUUUCAAAUGCCACACAACCUGGUCUAGGUGUUUCUAUUUCACAGCCUCCAUCUGAUUCUACAUCAUUAUCCUCUGUAAUAGCUGAAGUUAAUUCACGACUAAGAAGUCUUGUCGGUACCAUGCAAGGAGAAAACCAGCCUACAUCAGGCUCUGUUACUUCUGGUACAGGUAAUGGUGCAAGCAACAAAGAGCCUGAAGGGGUGAUGAUCAGUGGGGCUGGGGAAUCUUCUGUGACCUUAUCUGGGUUAAUGUUCGAUGGCCAUGAUCAAAAGAAUCAAGAUGAUCAUGUCCGAGGAAGUAAUGGUGAGGUGACAGAGAGUUUUUUGAGCUCAAAAGAUGUUUCGUCUUGCUCGGUGGGAUGUUCAAAUGGAGAAACCUCACUAAAGCCAAAAAAGACUUCAGAAAAUGCCCCUAGUUCCAGUGAGAAGCAUGAUCUUUCAGAAGGUGCUGAAGCUGUUCCUCUUGGAUUAGCGAUGGGGAGUUUGGAAUGCAAGAGGAAAACCAGUCAGCCAAAAUCGGUGGUGAAGAGUGGUGAUCUUGGAACAAGCAAUACUCCUGUCUGUGAGAACCUGAACACUGGAAUGACUGGUCAACAGCUAUUACAAUCUCUUGCAUCUCUUAGCUCUGGUACAAAUAGGGUGGGUGCAAAUGAGAUACAUUCAAGUCAAAUACCUUCAUCUGUUUGCAGGAACUUGGAGAAUAGUCCACUGGGAGAACAAGGUUCUGAUGCCCAGUUUGGUACUUCUAGUGUUGUGUCUCAGGUGAUAGAUAGUCCUGCCUUGAAUGGUUUGUUGGCAGGUGUCUCACAGCAAACUGGGGUUGGCUCUCCCAAUGUUUUGAGGAAUAUGUUGCAACAGCUCACUCAGAACCCCCAAAUAAUGAGUACUGUCAGCCAAAUUGCUCAGCAGGUAGAAAGCCAAGACCUUGGGAAUAUGUUCUCAGGUUUGGGAAGUGGCCAAGGCAGUGGCAUUGAUCUUUCUAGGGUGGUCCAACAGAUGAUGCCAGUAGUUUCCCAGGUUCUCAGUCGUGGGUCAGCUGCUCAGCCAUUCUCUCCUGUAGAACCUGAAGCUCAGCAGCAGUAUAAUGAGAGGAGAUCAAGUGGAAAUGAAAAACCCAAUGAUCAAAAUGUUCAGAUCGACCUCCAGGAUGUGGCCCAGAGAAUUGGACAUUUCAAUGCACCUGGAGAUAUUUUCCGAGCUGUAGCUGAAAAUGCAGGGAGGUCGAAUGGGAAUGAAAGUGGAUCCCUAGAUAUUGUGCAGGAGUUGAGCAACAAUGCGGAUCUAGUCCAUGAUUACAUAGAGAUGCUACAGCGUGAUAUACAUCAGCUGCUUCAGAGUGACACUGGGGAGGAUGAGUCUUGAUUUCUCGGAGAGGCGGUUUCUUAUGAUUUCAAGCGUCCAGAAAUGGUUCGCCAGAGACUAUUAUCUCAGCCAGGCUUACCUUGAAAAUGAUUUCAGCUUGUACAAAUCGGUAUGGAGCUCUACGCUCCAUGUUAUAAGCCAACAUCGAUAUGAUUUUUCGGUUUAUUGUGAAUUAGUAUUUAUGAUAUAAAUUCAAUACUUUAAGUUUCCCGUUUCAAGGGAUUGGGGGCAAGUUCCCAGAAAGUUAACAAAUUCAACUUAUUUGGUUGAUGUUUUAUUGGGAAGUGACCUUCCGAAAAGUAAUUUUACCUCCAUGAAGAUACGUCGCUUCCUAAAAAGUGUAAAGAAAGAGCUUGACUCAAAUGAGAUCUUAGUAUUUCGUUUUGUUUCUUUUUAGUCAUCCAGGGGAUAAAUCCUAGGCGGCUUUGUACUAAUAGCAAUCCAAUUGAAUGAUGUAGUUAUCUGGCUUCGAACUAAUAGCAAUUAUCUUGCUUGGGUUGGUAUUUGAUUUCACUUACAAUUAUUGAAUUUAUUACUAAUUCGAACAUGAACAUGGU
rnacentral:misc_RNA from 1 species